rnacentral:rRNA from 1 species
UACGGAGGAUCCGAGCGUUAUCCGGAAUCAUUGGGUUUAAAGGGUCCGUAGGCGGGCGCAUAAGUCAGGGGUGAAAGUUUGCCGCUCAACGGUAAAAUUGCCUUUGAUACUGUGCGCCUUGAAUGGCGGUGAAGUGGUUGGAAUGUGCAGUGGAGCGGUGAAAUGCUUAGAUAUUGCACAGAACACCCAUUGCGAAGGCAGGCCACUAACCGCGCAUUGACGCUGAGGGACGAAAGCGUGGGGAGCUAACAGG